rnacentral:rRNA from 1 species
AACGAGCGCUGGCGGCAUGCCUAACACAUGCAAGUCGAACGAGAUCUCCGGGGCUAGUGGCGCACGGGUGCGUAACGCGUGGGAAUCUGCCCUUUGGUUCGGAAUAACAGUUGGAAACGACUGCUAAUACCGGAUGAUGACGAAAGUCCAAAGAUUUAUCGCCAGAGGAGGAGCCCGCGUAGGAUUAGCUAGUUGGUGUGGUAAAGGCGCACCAAGGCGACGAUCCUUAGCUGGUCUGAGAGGAUGAUCAGCCACACUGGGACUGAGACACGGCCGAGACUCCUACGGGAGGCAGCAGUGGGGAAUAUUGGACAAUGGGCGAAAGCCUGAUCCAGCAAUGCCGCGUGAGUGAUGAAGGCCUUAGGGUUGUAAAGCUCUUUUACCCGGGAUGAUAAUGACAGUACCGGGAGAAUAAGCUCCGGCUAACUCCGUGCCAGCCGCCGCCGUAA